rnacentral:lncRNA from 1 species
CGCCGCCGCCGCCUCCCCAGCGCGGCCAACCCCGGGCUGGCCCAGCCCCCGCCCCGGGCCGGCCAUAGGGCGCUGGGGGGGCGGGGGGGGGCCGGGGGCGCGGCUUUGUGGCGGCAGCGGACCGUGGAGGCCGGGUGCAGCCCCGUCGGCUGCGCGCUCUCUGCAGAAAAGGAUUUUCUAUGCUCCCCGCCCAUCACUUGGAUCUCGUCUGGGGAGGGGCGGAUUUUUUUUUCUGGAAGUACCCUUCUUCUUCACGGUGGAGGAUUUAAGGCUGGGCUCCAAUCGAGGCGGAGGCUGCAGGGCCCGCGGGGCGCCCCCCACGCCCGGCGCACGCCUGCCUGGAGCCUGGGAAGGCGCAGCCCCGGCGGGGGGGGCCGUGCACCCCCGGAGGCAGCAGCGGCGAUAAACCUGCCAGUAAUUUCAGCAAAUGAAACGUGGAACGCGUCAAGGCCAGAGGAUGGAAAAGGCUCCGGUUUUGAUAAAAGGAGGCCUGCUUGGCUUGGAAUCCUCUCUCCUGCUGGUUGGAAGAUGCAAAGAUGUUUCCAGAGAGGGGCUGAAGAAUUGAGGGGAAAGAAAUGAGCCCAGUAUGAGUCCCCUUUCAGGGCUGAGCGCGUAUAAAACCAAACAACUUGGAACAGCUCCAAGAGAGGGGAUUAAAGCAACAUGUUAUUCUGAGUGAUUGCUUAAUUUAUUGAGCUGCGGCUGGAUCUGUAAUGAAAUACAGCCCUUGUAACUGAUAACCUCCUGCUGCAAUUGACCUUCUACAAUUAAGGAAUAUUUUCCGAGUUUCUCUGGAACGGCUCUGAAUUUCUAGCCUCUGUGACAGGGUGCUUCUGAACAUUUGUUUUCCAGGCAAUUUUUUUUUUUCUUGAGUAUCAGACUGAUGUUAAUAAAUAAGCAGCAUUUUAUUGAGUGCUUUGUGGGAACCAGGAACUUUAUAUAUAUUAUAUCUAAUCCUGACACUAAUCCUGACAAUAUCCCGUGAAAUAACCCCUAUUAUUCCCUAUUUUAUGGAUGUGAAGCCACGAGACGUUCGGUCAUUUUCUAGAGUGGUGCUGUCCAAGACAGUAGCUGUUAUGGCUCCUUGUGGCUAUUGAUGUGUAAAUUAGUUAAAAUUAAAUAAAUUUUAAAGUUGACUCCCUAGGUUGCACUAACAAUGAGUUCAAGUGC